rnacentral:tRNA from 1 species
GAUUCUUUGGCCGAUAGAAGGUGAUUGUCUUGAAAACAGUGAAGGGUGAAUUAAAACACCAAGAGUUU